GAAGCAGCACAGUCACCCAUCUAUGACAUUGGUGACAUCAGGGUAGCAUGCAGGUAAAGUGUCUCACAAGUGCUGAAAGACCAGAUUAAAACCCUGCCCUGCAAGCCUAAAGAAUGGGCCACUCCAAUGCACUGGCAUGCAAACCAUGCCUGAACUGUGAGUAGCACAAGCAAAAAUACUGACAAGCUUGAGUUCAUCAUAAUGAGCUGUUCCAAGUGCCACUCGAAUAUUUCAGAGGAUUAGGACUGCAGGGACCCUGUGAAUGCAGCAGUAUGCUCACAACACAGACCCUGUGCAGUGUGCACUCAGUGAGGUCCCAGAAGCAGCACACAAAGCAGCUCUUCUUUGGUGGCAUCAGAGGGAGCACGGCCCCCUCCAACCCAGCAGAGCCGAGCAGUGAGGAGGCAAGAACAGAGGACAAGGCAAGGCUGAAGCAGUGUGACACAGGAUUAACACAGUAUCAGUGCAGAAGUGCCAGUGCUUACAGAACAACAGGCUGACAGCACAUCACUGCUUCAGGAAGGGGCAUGGUGAGAUUAUAAUAGCAAUAUUCUAAUGAAAAAACAAGAGAAGGCAUUGGAGCCAACUGUUUGUUUAUUUUUAUCU